UACGGGGGGGGCAAGCGUUGUUCGGAAUUACUGGGCGUAAAGGGCUCGUAGGUGGCCAACUAAGUCGGACGUGAAAUCCCUCGGCUUAACCGGGGAACUGCGUCCGAUACUGGAUGGCUUGAGUUUGGGAGAGGGAUGCGGAAUUCCAGGUGUAGCGGUGAAAUGCGUAGAUAUCUGGAGGAACACCGGUGGCGAAGGCGGCGCGCUGGACCACUACUGACGCUGAGGAACGAAAGCUAGGGGAGCAAACAGG
rnacentral:rRNA from 1 species